rnacentral:rRNA from 1 species
GACGAACGCUGGCGGCGUGCUUAACACAUGCAAGUCGAACGGAAAGGCCCUGCUUUUGUGGGGUGCUCGAGUGGCGAACGGGUGAGUAACGCGUGAGUAACCUGCCCUUGACUUUGGGAUAACUUCAGGAAACUGGGGCUAAUACCGGAUAGGAGCUCCUGCUGCAUGGUGGGGGUUGGAAAGUUUCGGCGGUUGGGGAUGGACUCGCGGCUUAUCAGCUUGUUGGUGGGGUAGUGGCUUACCAAGGCUUUGACGGGUAGCCGGCCUGAGAGGGUGACCGGCCACAUUGGGACUGAGAUACGGCCCAGACUCCUACGGGAGGCAGCAGUGGGGAAUAUUGCACAAUGGGCGGAAGCCUGAUGCAGCAACGCCGCGUGCGGGAUGACGGCCUUCGGGUUGUAAACCGCUUUCGCCUGUGACGAAGCGUGAGUGACGGUAAUGGGUAAAGAGGCACCGGCUAACUACGUG